GGGGCUGUGGCUCAGUGGUAGAGGAGCACUUGCCUAGCAAGUAUGAGGUCCUGGGUUCAAUUCCCAGCACCA
rnacentral:tRNA from 1 species